CACAGUUUGGCCAAAGUAAUUACUUAUAGUGAUUCAGACUUUCAAAGUUCAAUAAUGAAUUUACCUAUUUCUUGUUUACAAAAUGAGAAGCAAGCAGAUGAGUAUAUAAUGCAAACAGAUUUUGAGUGUAUCGUUCCUUAUCACAAAGUGCAUUUAUAUUAUUCCUGAAAAAUUUUUUAUUUAUAUAUGCAAACAAAUCAUUUUCAAGCUAUAGAAAAGGAGAAAUUUGCAACACUCUUGCCCAGUCCUGUAUUUUAUGUUAACGACUAUCAACUGAAGAAGUAAUAUAUUCAGAGCGGUUCAAUUCUCUAAAAAAUCAUAUAUCAGAAGAAAUCAAGUAAUUAUAUUUAUUCUCAUCUACAGUUAUUAGAAAGUUAAAAUAGGAAAACAGCUGAUUGCAGUAAUUAAAAACGUCGAAGAUUUCUUAUCAAUCAGAUAGAAGUGCUUUUCAAAUCCAUCAGGCUCAUAAGGGAUCAUCCAGAAAUUAUAUCAUAUCACACUGUUAGAAAGUGAAGGAUUUAUGCAAGAUGUGACAUCACCCUGUAAAAAUGAUAAGAGAAUCUGGCAGAUAAGUUUUUAUACAGAUGAACUACUAUCUUCAGCAGAAUCUGGAAAUGAGAGUUUUGAACAUAAUGUACUAGUAAAACCAUUGUGGUCAGAGGAGAGCUACUUGUUUCACUAUUUUGUUUUUUUCUUCAAUUUCAUAGCAGAUAAUGGAGUUUUUGCUACAAACUCAAUCAUACUGUAUAGUUAUGUAUGUGGUUUGAAAUUAAAAAAAAAAUUUUAUGGC
rnacentral:lncRNA from 1 species